GACGAACGCUGGCGGCGUGCUUAACACAUGCAAGUCGAACGGAAAGGCCCUGCUUGCAGGGUACUCGAGUGGCGAAAGGGUGAGUAACACGCGGGUGAUCUGCCCUGCACUUCGGGAUAAGCCUGGGAAACUGGGUCUAAUACCGGAUAGGAGCCAUUUUGAGUGUGAUGGUUGGAAAGUUUUUUCGGUGUAGGAUGAGCUCGCGGCCUAUCAGCUUGUUGGUGGGGUAAUGGACUACCAAGGCGGCGACGGGUAGCCGGCCUGAGAGGGUGGACGGCCACAUUGGGACUGAGAUACGGCCCAGACUCCUACGGGAGGCAGCAGUGGGGAAUAUUGCACAAGGGGCGCAAGCCUGAUGCAGCGACGCCGCGUGGGGGAUGACGGCCUUCGGGUUGUAAACUCCUUUCGCUAGGGACGAAGCUUUUUGUGACGGUACCUAGAUAAGAAGCACCGGCUAACUACGUG
rnacentral:rRNA from 1 species